rnacentral:rRNA from 1 species
CAGCAGCCACGGUAAAACGAAGGGUGCAAGCGUUACUCGGAAUUACUGGGCGUAAAGCGUGCGUAGGUGGUGGUUUAAGUCCGUUGUGUAAGCCCUGGGCUCAACCUGGGAAUUGCAGUGGAUACUGGAUCACUAGAGUGUGGUAGAGGAUAGUGGAAUUUCCGGUGUAGCAGUGGAAUGCGUAGAGAUCGGAAGGAACAUCUGUGGCGAAGGCGACUAUCUGGGCCAACACUGACACUGAGGCACGAAAGCGUGGGGAGCAAACAGGAUUAGAUACCCCAGUAGUCCCUGUCUCUUAUAC